CCGAGUGACCUUGCUGAAGGGGAAACACCUGUUCCCAUUCCGAACACAGUAGUUAAGCCCUUCGAGGCCGAUGGUACUGCGGUGGUAACGCCGUGGGAGAGUAGGUAGUUGCUCGGU
rnacentral:rRNA from 1 species